rnacentral:rRNA from 1 species
UACGGGGGGAGCAAGCGUUGUUCGGAUUUACUGGGCGUAAAGGGCGCGUAGGCGGUCAGCACAAGUCAGGCGUGAAAGCCCCGGGCUCAACCUGGGAACCGCGCUUGAGACUGGAGAACUAGAGUUCGGGAGAGGAUGGUGGAAUUCCCAGUGUAGAGGUGAAAUUCGUAGAUAUUGGGAAGAACACCGAUGGCGAAGGCAGCCAUCUGGACCGACACUGACGCUGAGGCGCGAAAGCGUGGGGAGCAAACAGG